rnacentral:lncRNA from 1 species
AUGACCUCACCAGCAUCUGUUGUUUCGUGACUUUUUAAUAAUUGCCAUUCUGACUGGCGUGAGAUGGUAUCUCACUGUGGUUUUGAUUUGCAUUUCUCUAAUGGUAAGUAUCAUUGAGCUUUUUUUUCAGUCAUUGACUUCACUGCAAAUCUGGGUCUAUCUCACCUUCUUCACAGGGUGGUAGGAUGGAGUGAGUGCAAGCAGGGGAAAUGCCAGAUGCUUAUAAAACCAUCAGAUCUCAUGAGACUCAUUACUAUUACAAGAAAAACAUGGAGGAAACUGCCUCUAUGAUUCAAUUACCUCCACCUGGUCCCACCCUUGACACACAGGGAUUAUGGGGAUUACAAUUCAAGAUAGAUUUUGAGUAGGGACACAGAGCAAAACUAUAUCAGUGAGACUUUCCUACCUCACUACCUCAGUGUGCACACGAGGACCAGAGAUGGAGGGAAAAAGAACUGAAAAAGUGAUAACAAAAAGUAUGUAUUUCGGUAAUUUUUCUUAAGCCUGAGUAAACCAGUUGAAACUACUCCAACCUUUUCCAUGAAGUAAAGCACACAUUUAUUACCAGAUAGUAUACGUGAUAAUUGCUUCUGCAUCUAUUCCCUAUGGGAGAAGAAGAAUACAUCGUUUUUUGUGCCAAGUCCAUAUAAUACAGAAAGGAAACAUGGCGCAUUGCAAUAUAGUGUGAUGAGAGGGAGUGGAGAACAUUUAAAAAGCACCUCCCAUGGACUGGGGUCUUUCUCUCUCUUUAACUGUAAUACAUUUGUUUUCUAUAUCUGGGGUGCUCUUGUGUUGGGUGUAUAUGUACUUACGAUUGUUGUGUGCUGUUUUUUGAAUUG